UAAUACGAGGGGUGCGAGCGUUGUCCGGAUUAACUGGGCGUAAAGGGUGUGUAGGGGGCAUUGUUAGUCCUGCCUUAAAGCUUCCGGCUUAACCGGAAAAGUGGGCAGGAAACGGCAAAGCUUUGAGGGUGCGAGAGGCUGAUGGAACUAUAGGUGUAGGGGUGAAAUCCGUUGAUAUCUAUGGGAACACCAAAGGCGAAGGCAGUCAGCUGGCGCACACCUGACCCUGAAACACGAAAGCGUGGGGAUCAAAAAGGAUUAGAUACCCUUGUAGUCCACGCCCUAAACGAUGUCCGCUAGCCAUUCGAAGUAUCGACCCUUCGGGAGGCGAAGCUAACGCGUUAAGCGGACCGCCUGGGAAGUACGAGCGCAAGCUUA
rnacentral:rRNA from 1 species